rnacentral:rRNA from 1 species
UACGUAGGUGGCAAGCGUUGUCCGGAUUUACUGGGCGUAAAGAGCGCGCAGGCGGUCGAUUUAGUCGCGUGUGAAAGCCCCCGGCUCAACUGGGGAGGGUCACGCGAUACUGAUCGACUCGAAGGCAGGAGAGGGUAGUGGAAUUCCCGGUGUAGUGGUGAAAUGCGCAGAUAUCGGGAAGAACACCCAUGGCGAAGGCAGCUCUCUGGGACGGUACUGACGCUGAGACGCGAAAGCGUGGGGAGCGAACAGG